rnacentral:lncRNA from 1 species
AAGAGCUCAACCAAGACCAAACUUAAAACAUAAUAUCCUGGACUAAAAGCUUCCAAUUUGCAACUUGUUGAUUAAAAACACGACUGUUCCUUUCUUUCCAAAUGCAAAAAAUUAUUGUGCACCACACUACCUUCCAAAUCUGACUUUCCUUAUGUGAUCUCCCCAAAUCUGAAUUUAGCCAGAAGUGACCAACUACAAAGUUCGGUGCAGCGUAGGCAAAGUUUGGUGAUGUCCAACUGUAGCAAGCAUUUCAUACCUUGACAAUAAAGUCGCA